rnacentral:lncRNA from 1 species
GUAAUUGCGCCACUGCACUCCAGCCUGGGCUAUAGAGCAAGACUCUGUCUCAAAAACAAAAACAAAAACAAAGACCAGGGAAAUCUGUCUAUUUUUAUGCCACGGUUUGAUGAAAACCAGUCACGUAGAGACCAGGCACGGUGGCUCAUGCCUGUAAUCCCAGCACUUUGGGAGGCCGAGGUGGGCAGAUCACGAGGUCAGGAGAUCAAGACCAUCCUGGCUAACACAGUGAAACCCCGUCUCUGCUAAAAAAAAUACAAAAAAAAUUAGCUGGGCAUGAUGGCGGGCACCUGUAGUCCCAGCUACUCAGGAGGCCAAGGCAGGAGAAUGGCAUGAACCUGGGAGGCGGAGCUUGCAGUGAGCCAAGAUCGCACCACUGCACUCCCGCCUGGGUGACAGAGCGAGACUCCGUUUCCCGAAAAACAAACAAACAAACAAAAAAAACGGUCACGUAGAAAUGUGAUUGGACAAAAGGGGGUGUGACCUAAGAGUAACAGAUUAGGAGGAGCUCAGCUGGGCCUGUUUGUUCAAAUUCUUUUGUGUCUUUGUAUGAUGUUCCUUCUCUCUAGGUAUGGGGGAGGACACCUGUCACAGGAGGAUCUUCAAGGGAGAAAGGAGGAGGUCAGAGAGUGACCUUGCUAGUUUUUAUGGUUUGUUUCCAGGAAGAGGAAUUCUAGUUUCUUUGACCCACUUCAGGAGAGAAAGGGGAAUGGGAGAAAGGAGGGCAAGGCAGUUCAGGAGGGCAAGGCAACUUCUUGCUUCUGCAGCCCUCUCAAUCUCCUGAAGCUCAAAAUACCCUACAUUCCAAGGUACCAUACUUUGGGGCGUCAUGUUCUGAGCCCAGACAGUGGCAAACAUGAUCCACAUGGGCCCCAUUUUCUUGGGGCUGUUGAGGAGACAGGGGUGGACAUAAACGGUCACACAGGACCGGGCACAGUGGCUCAUGCCUGUAAUCCUGGCACUUUGGGAGGCCGAGGUGGGCAGAUUGUGAAGCUCAGGAGUUCAAGACCAGCUUGGGCCGGGCACGGUGGCUCACGCCUGUAAUCCCAGCACUUUGUCUCUACUAAAAAUACAAAAAAAAUUAGCCGGGCGCGGAGUGGGUGCCUGUAGUCCCAGCUACUCAGGAGGCUGAGGCAGGAGAAUGGCGUGAACCCGGGAGGCGGAGCUUGCAGUGAGCCGAGAUCACACCACUGCACUGCGAGACUCCGUCUCAAAAAAAAAAAAAAAAAAAAAAAAAAAAAA